GAGGCUGGCCCAUCAGAGUCUACUAGGAGGCACACUCCAGUCCAGCAGCCAGACAGCAGAGCACUUCCCUCAGAGAUCAGAUUGGCUGAUGACUAGAUUGAGAUGAUCUCUCAGCGUGUGGCUUCCUUACUUUCUCGACAGUGGGGCACUUCAGCUUUUGCACAGAGAUCCACAUCACAUGAUGUAUCUGAUCAAACUUUGAUCCC
rnacentral:lncRNA from 1 species